rnacentral:rRNA from 1 species
CGACCGGCGCACGGUGAGUAACGCGUAUCCAACCUGCCCACCACUUGGGGAGUAACCUUGCGAAAGUAAGACUAAUACCCAAUGAUAUCUCUAGAAGACAUCUGAAAGAGAUUAAAGAUUUAUCGGUGAUGGAUGGGGAUGCGUCUGAUUAGCUUGUUGGCGGGGUAACGGCCCACCAAGGCAACGAUCAGUAGGGGUUCUGAGAGGAAGGUCCCCCACAUUGGAACUGAGACACGGUCCAA